rnacentral:rRNA from 1 species
AGCGAAUGCUGGCGGCAUGCUUAACACAUGCAAGUCGCACGGUUGGGGGCAACCCUGGCAGUGGCGGACGGGUGAGUAACGCGUAGGUAUCUGUCCAUGGGUGGGGGAUAACCGGGGGAAACUCCGGCUAAUACCGCAUGAAACCUGAGGGUCAAAGGCGCGAGUCGCCUGUGGAGGAGCCUGCGUCCGAUUAGCUAGUUGGUGGGGUAAAGGCCUACCAAGGCGACGAUCGGUAGCUGGUCUGAGAGGAUGAUCAGUCACACUGGGACUGAGACACGGCCCAGACUCCUACGGGAGGCAGCAGUGGGGAAUAUUGGACAAUGGGCGCAAGCCUGAUCCAGCAAUGCCGCGUGUGUGAAGAAGGUCUUCGGAUUGUAAAGCACUUUCGACGGGGACGAUGAUGACGGUACCGUA